rnacentral:rRNA from 1 species
AUAGCGUAUAUUAAAGUUGUUGCAGUUAAAAAGCUCGUAGUUGGAUUUCAAGGGCCGCAGCGUGGACAACAUGUCUGCACCCUACCAGUCUUUGACUGUUACUGUGAGAAAAUUAGAGUGUUUCAAGCAGGCUGUUGCAGGAAUACAUUAGCAUGGAAUAACGAAUGUGUCUAGAAUCGUGGUUAAUUCUAGAAUACGAUUAAUAGGGACAGUUGGGGGCAUUAGUAUUUAAUUGUCAGAGGUGAAAUUCUUGGAUUUGUUAAAGACUAACGUAUG